AGAGUUUGAUCAUGGCUCAGAACGAACGCUGGCGGCGUGCCUAACACAUGCAAGUCGAGCGAGAACCCAGGCUUCGGCCUGGGGGAAAGCGGCGAACGGGUGAGUAACGCGUGAGUAAUCUGCCCUCGACAUCGGGAUAGCCCGGGGAAACCCGGAUUAAUACCGAAUGGCCCAACAGCUUUUCGGAGCGGUUGGAAAAGGUAGCUUCGGCCUCCGGUCGAGGAGGAGCUCGCGGCGGAUUAGCUUGUUGGUGGGGUAACGGCCUACCAAGGCUUCGAUCCGUAGCUGGUCUGAGAGGACGAUCAGCCACACUGGGACUGAGACACGGCCCAGACUCCUACGGGAGGCAGCAGUGGGGAAUCUUGCGCAAUGGGCGAAAGCCUGACGCAGCGACGCCGCGUGAGGGAAGAAGGCCUUCGGGUUGUAAACCUCUUUCAGGAGGGACGAAGCCACUCGGGUUAAUAGCCCAGAGGGUGACGGUACCUCCAGAAGAAGCCCCGGCUAACUACGUGCCAGCAGCCGCGGUAAUACGUAGGGGGCUAGCGUUGUCCGGAUUUAUUGGGCGUAAAGAGCGUGUAGGCGGCCAGGUAGGUCUGCUGUGAAAACUCGAGGCUCAACCUCGAGACGUCGGCGGAAACCAUCUGGCUAGAGUCCGGAAGAGGAGAGUGGAAUUCCUGGUGUAGCGGUGAAAUGCGCAGAUAUCAGGAAGAACACCCGUGGCGAAGGCGGCUCUCUGGGACGGUACUGACGCUGAGACGCGAAAGCGUGGGGAGCGAACAGGAUUAGAUACCCUAGUAGUCC
rnacentral:rRNA from 1 species